GGCUGGUAAGGCUUCAUAAAGAACGUGGAAGGGCAUUCUAAGUGAGAGAACACAAUACACGUAUGCGUGGAAAUGAGAGACAUGUCCAGGGAACUUAGAUUAGACCAAUUUGGCAAAGAAAUAGAGCUAAUUUAAAAGAGAGUGAGAGAAAAGAAAAGAUAGGUUGAGAAGAGAUUAGUCUUAGAAUAAAUACAUUUUGCUAGAGGGAAACUUCUGAAAAUAUUUCAGCACAAAUGUGACCUGAGAAAAAAAAUGGCAUUUUCAGAUGUUCAGCUAACAACAUUCAACAAGUAGAACGAACUAAUGAAAGAAAACAUGAGCAGAAGGAGGACUCUUAAGUAGCUAUUGCUAUACUUAGGACUAAAGGUGUGAAUAUCUGGACAUGGCCAGAGCUAUAUUCGUGUUAGUUGAAGACUGAAGAAAAUGUAAGACAUGAUGAAUAAAUUUCUGUAGAUUAAAUUCUGCGGGUCUUGCCUGGGCUCACUGAUGCAGCUGCUUUCAAAUGCUGAGUUGCAUGGGGACUGCACUCAGCUAGGAUGUCUGGUCUUCACUCUCCUUGGAGCAGGCUUAUUCACUUUGUAUAACAGCAGCCAUCCAAGAGGGCUACUGUGCAAUCCACUCUGCUAGCUGAGCUGUGUGACCCAAGAGAUCAAAUGGUCCUUGAAAUGCCUGGGACAGAUUGGGCAGUUGUACGGAGUCUGCUGGUGGGCCUCUAAAGGUCACUGAUUACGUUCUUCCCCAACACCUGUUCUUUUGACCUCAUUGGAACCUGCUCAUUGCCGAGAAGGCUCAACAUCAGAAGUCCAUAAUGGGAAAGAAAACCUAGAGUAGGGAUGCUGCCCAGCAGGACUGGAGAAGAAUGAAAAGAAGUUGUGCUUGGAGAAUCACCAUUUGGGUACCAAAGAGUCAUGAUUGCUGUGUCCCUACCAGCCAACUACAGUCUUCACUGGGGUAGGAACUGUAAACAUUUACACCAUCGGUUCUUACUUGAGUAGAACUUCACACCAACUGCACCAAGUACACUUGUCAAUUUAUCUCCAGUAAACCUAGCAUCAAGAAGCAGAAGCAAUAACUCCUAUGCCAUGAAUCUGCCCUUGACAGCAUUCAGCAGAUCCAGAAGGAUGCUUGUAGCAUCCUGCAGGACAAAGAUAAAGCUAAAGAGUAUCCAAGAUGCCUAGUAUAUUUGUGAAGACAAUAUCCAUCCAUGUUCUUAUUGGAUCAAAUUAAGCAUCCUGGAAUAUCCUGAGCCAGGUAAGCAUACAGUGGAC
rnacentral:lncRNA from 1 species